GACGAACGCUGGCGGCGUGCUUAAUACAUGCAAGUCUACGAUUUUUAAAGUAGCAAUAUUUUAAAGAGAGUGGCGCACGGGUGAGUAACACGUAGGCAACCUACCCUUCAGUGGGGGACAACAGAGGGAAACUUCUGCUAAUACCGCAUACGGCCUUGUACUGGGAUGUACGAGGAGAAAGGAUUUAUUCGCUGAGGGAUGGGCCUGCGGCCUAUCAGGUAGUUGGUGGGGUAAAGGCCUACCAAGCCUGCGACGGGUAGCCGGACUGAGAGGUCGACCGGCCACACUGGAACUGAGACACGGUCCAGACUCCUACGGGAGGCAGCAGUGGGGAAUAUUGCACAAUGGGGGAAACCCUGAUGCAGCGACGCCGCGUGGAGGAUGACC
rnacentral:rRNA from 1 species